UUCUCUGAUUUUUUGACUUCUUUUUGACUUAAGCGUAACAGUUCUCAGGGGAGUUUAGACUAGAGAGAGUUUUUAGAUGUUCUCAUAUCUGCACAUUAAUGUAGGAAAAGUAUUUUCUUCUACUUCGAUUUACCUAUGUAGAACUCUUUGUAUUAUUGUUCUGUUAGGAGCUAGCCUUUUAAGAGAGAUGAAUCCAAUCCCUAUCCUGAGGUGGUCAGGCUCCAACUGUAAUUAACAGAGAUCUAGUCGAUAGAGCAAUUAAUCUGAUGAAACGUAGGUGGGUUUUUGUUCUGCUCUGCAGCGCUAAAAGAUGCUGUACUCCGAACUGUAAAUACUGUCAAAUUGUAUUUGCUUUGCCUUUGAAAAAAAUUAACAAACUUUGGACCUUUCACUGUAAUUUUGUUCUAUGUGUACACAGGAGGAGGGGAUGGGUUGUUUUUUUUUAACUUUGAAGAUUUUCACUAGUAGUCUGUUAUCUUGUGCUUUUCAUCGUGGUGACUGUACUGUCUCUGUAUUUCUCAAGGUCAUCGGUGCUGGAAGGUCAGUACUGUGGGAAGGGCUGCAUUUUCUGCAGCAACUGUUACAGUCUCAUGGCAUCCAUCCCAUUUGAUUCUUGUCUUAAGCAUGGGAUUAGCUCCUGCCUUUUGGCACGGGCUUCUGGAUGGGCAGAGAAUACGGAAAGCAUUAAUAAGGUCCACGAUACAAAAUAGGAAAGCUGUUGAAGAGCCCUUCCUCCUGGUUUUACACAAAGUCAUACUGCUUGAUUUGAAAGAGGACAAAGUCAUUUUUGUUUGCCUACUGCUAUAUGGGUGGAGUUGCUCCAUUUGUUUGAGUAGAUGAAAAAAUGUGACGCUGGCAUUUUUAUACUUGGGGUGCUGCGGUAGUUUUUGGCUGGUAGGAGGUACAAACAGCCUGCAAUACCCCGAGCGAGGACGAGGCUGCCUCAAAAGAUGGCGUGCAUGUCUACUUUCUGCUUUUGGUCUCUGUCUGUCAGGUAGGUAGGGAGAUAUCCAGGCUGCCAGGGCUCUCAACGUACCCUGUGCUAGAGGCGGGAAUUCUUCUUGACCCCAUCUUCUUGAGCUCCUUUCUUGCCUGUGGUGACGAGCAGUAAGCAGCAUGCUGCAGCUGAACUCUGGUCGCUGUAUAUUUAUCAGUGGUCUUCUGCUUAUAAUUGGCAAAGUCUUCGGUAUUCGUGUAGUGAUCUCUAUGCUAGCUUCCCUUUUUCUGUGUUUAACCUGCCUUGCUCGGAUAGCAAUGUAGCAGCAGCGUGAAGAUGCGCCUACACCUACAGCUCGGCUGAUCUAAUGAUAUCUCGGUGCUGCUGGGAGAAGGAGGCCCUGUUUUUCCCUUCCACUCUCAGGUUAGCAGGUGGAGUUUGCUCAGGGGGAGAUCCAGUAAGCUCCAGGGCUGGUGCAGAACGAGGGAGGCACUCCUGCAGCUGGGGACGUGAGUGAGGAAAGCAGAAGCUGCUUUCCCCUUUUCAGGGUGGUGAGUUGCCUGUUAGUUCUACCGUGCUGUGUAGUGUCACCCGGGCUUGCAGCAAUCCAGUGCAGCCUGGGACUGUCCUGACCAGCAACCAGUUUAGCUCAUGCUGCUGGUGCUGGAUCUCAUCAGGGUGUGGCCAUGGGUUGAGGAGAUCCUGUGAGCUGAUACAAUAGGGAAACUCAUCUUCCUUUUUAGUGUUUUUACUGG